UACGAAGGGGGCUAGCGUUGUUCGGAUUUACUGGGCGUAAAGCGCACGUAGGCGGAUUGUUAAGUCAGGGGUGAAAUCCCGCAGCUCAACUGCGGAACUGCCUUUGAUACUGGCAAUCUCGAGUCCGGAAGAGGUGAGUGGAACUCCUAGUGUAGAGGUGGAAUUCGUAGAUAUUAGGAAGAACACCAGUGGCGAAGGCGGCUCACUGGUCCGGUACUGACGCUGAGGUGCGAAAGCGUGGGGAGCAAACAGG
rnacentral:rRNA from 1 species